UACGGGGGGGGCAAGCGUUGUUCGGAAUUACUGGGCGUAAAGGGCUUGUAGGUGGCCAACUAAGUCAGACGUGAAAUCCCUCAGCUUAACUGGGGAACUGCUUCUGAUACUGGAUGGCUUGAGUUUGGGAGAGGGAUGCGGAAUUCCAGGUGUAGCGGUGAAAUGCGUAGAUAUCUGGAGGAACACCCGUGGCGAAGGCGGCCCUCUGGCUCGACCCUGACGCUGAGGCGCGAAAGCGUGGGGAGCAAACGGG
rnacentral:rRNA from 1 species